GGAGCUCUCCCAUAUGGUCGACCUGCAGGCGGCCGCGAAUUCACUAGUGAUUGUUUGAUCCUGGCUCAGGACGAACGCUGGCGGUAUGCUUAACACAUGCAAGUCGAACGAGACGAGAUGGAAUGACCCUUCGGGGGAAUGAAAUCUUAGAAAGUGGCGAACGGGUGAGUAACGCGUGGGUAACCUGCCCUAUGGAAAGGAAUAGCCUCGGGAAACUGGGAGUAAUGCCUUAUAAUACAGUGAAGUCGCAUGGCUUUGCUGUUAAACGCUCCGGUGCCAUAGGAUGGACCCGCGUCCCAUUAGCUAGUUGGUGAGAUAACAGCCCACCAAGGCGACGAUGGGUAACCGGUCUGAGAGGGCGAACGGUCACACUGGAACUGAGACACGGUCCAGACUCCUACGGGAGGCAGCAGUGGGGAAUAUUGCGCAAUGGGGGCAACCCUGACGCAGCAAUACCGCGUGAGUGAAGAAGGUUUUCGGAUCGUAAAGCUCUGUUAUUGGGGAAGAAAAAAGACGGUACCCAAGAAGAAAGUCCCGGCUAACUACGUGCCAGCAGCCGCGGUAAUACGUAGGGGACAAGCGUUGUCCGGAUUUACUGGGCGUAAAGGGCACGCAGGCGGUUUUUUAAGUCAGAUGUGAAAGGUACCGGCUCAACCGGUGACAUGCAUUUGAAACUGAAAGACUUGAGUAUUGGAGAGGCAAGUGGAAUUCCUAGUGUAGCGGUGAAAUGCGUAGAUAUUAGGAGGAACACCGGUGGCGAAGGCGGCUUGCUGGACAAAUACUGACGCUGAGGUGCGAAAGCGUGGGGAGCAAACAGGAUUAGAUACCCUGGUAGUCCACGCCGUAAACGAUGAGUGCUAGGUGUUGGGGAGACUCAGUGCCGCAGCUAACGCAAUAAGCACUCCGCCUGGGGAGUACGACCGCAAGGUUGAAACUCAAAGGAAAUUGACGGGGACCCGCACAAGCAGCGGAGCAUGUGGUUUAAUUUCGAAGCAACGCGAAGAACCUUUACCAGGUCUUGACAUCCUCUGA
rnacentral:rRNA from 1 species